GUUACCUAGGUUGGUCGCAAACCGAUCCGCACGAAUACAUAAGUAUUGGUGCUUGCGUUCAUUAAAGCAUAAUUAUAAUAAGACCGCGCCAUGUUGAUGGUUAAGUAAUCCACUUAACCCUCCGGCACGCAUACACUCACUUUCCAGGUCUGGUCUGGAGACACUAAUGCAAUUUGCGGUUUAAAGUCCUAGGUACGAUACCUGUGUAAUCCGUGAGAUUAUGGCUAGCUACUGAGAUGUGGAGUUGAGGUCACAGUCGGUGGACCGAGAUUCGCACGCUGGAUUGGUCGCGAAUGCUGAACCCUCCGGGUGAAAGGAUGAUUGAUGUGAUUCUAAAAGGCAGCUCAAGUUUAAAAGGAGGGGAGGGAUCUCGGUGUGGUAAGCGGAAGCAGGCAGCGUCUGUGAGCCGUGUUGAGCCCUUCUCGGGCUUUGUAGGGGGGCGCCGCGCUGGCUUGUCAGCCCCCCCGCGGCAAUAGGUGUUCUUGCUGUGUCUUGCGCUGGGCUGCACCCGGAAGCCCACAACCCCAGGAGGAGACUGCCGUACGGACCAGUUUUUCUUGCCCCGGUUGUGAGUGGACCGGUGAGGUAGUGGUGGCCGUCCUCGGUAGGUGUCCGUUGCUAGUGGUAGGUGAACAGCUGGCCUUCAAGGUCCAAUGUGCAAGUGCCCGCGCUGUGUUUUUCUUCUCGGUGCAACCGCGUCUCGGUUUUAGUGGUGUGUCGUCUCAGGCCCAUGGUCCUCCGUGUAUCUCUUGCCUUGCUGGCUGUGUGGGGCCCUUGACUGGGAGAGUCUUCGGAGGGGCCGUACAUGAGAUGGGUAGAUCUUCCCUUGCUUCGGUUUUUGAGUGUGUUGUGGAGCCCCCUGAGAAGAGCCCCUGCCCCCGGUGGUGUUUUCUCUUUGUUCUUGUUUUGGCGGUCAAGAGGGACGAGAGCGCGCGAUUAGGCUGGCCAGGUGUAGUGGGGGCAGUUAGCUUGCUUAGGUUUUCCCAGAGGUGGUGUGGCGCCUCUCGUGCGGCUCUCGCUUAGUUCGGUUUGCAGUCUUCUGCACCACUGCGUUGCCUAGCCAGGGGCUGGGAGAGCGUCCCGGUUGGCGUGAGUGAGGGAGUGAGGUGCGCACGGAGGCACAGACGGACGUAGAGCCGCGCGCCUGCCCCUGUGCUGUGUUUCGGCCCGGUCAGGGCCCCCGGUGCUCGUCCUUUAUCGGGCGAGCCGCCCACAGUGUAACACCCCAACAACAUCAACAACAUCAACAACAACAGUGGGGGCAGGUGGCCUGGUUAGGGUUCCUGGAGGUGGUAUGGUGCCUCUCACGCGGCUCUUGCUUAUUUCGGUUCACGGUCUUCUAGCUGUAGUGCCUAGCUAGGGGCUUGGAGAGUGCCCUGGCUGACGUGAGUGCGGGAGUCACUUCUUGGUAUAUCUGCAAAUAGUUCGCACGUGGGGGGGGGUGGGAAUGUACGUCCCCCACACACCCCCAUGAUGUAGGUACCUCUACCUGGUAAAGAAUCUGAUUGUCCCCAAUCUCCAUACCAUUGCCCCCCAUAUCUCCAUACCAUUCCCCCACCAUUCCCCAUACCACACAACCCCCCCAUAUUGAUGUACCAUUGCCCCCCCAUAUCCCCAUACCACUCCACCCAGUCUUACGGUAGCGAUGCAAAACAGUCUGCGAUAUUAUUUCUUCCCCGCCUCAUAGCAAAAAGAUACUCACAGUCUCCGAUGCCAUUCCAAUUCAUUUCACGAUAGCAACUACUUUCGAUCCACGUUCGUGCGUGCGUGCGUGCGUGCGUGCGUGCGUGUGUGUGUGUGUGUGUGUGUGUGUGUGUGUGUGUGUGUGUGUGUGUGUGUGUGUGUGGACCAAACAUAAUAUCUCGCCCGGCUGAAACGCGUUGUAGGUACUAUACAGCAUUCUCUAUUGCAAGGUAUCUCGCAUGUAGCCAACAAAAAUCGUAUGAGCACAAACAAGUUUGGCUGCCGCAAUUGACCGAGGCCAAAGUCACAUCAACGCCUCUCGCGCUAAAUUUCAUCCCGAAAGCUGCCGCGUAUCUCAUAAUGGAAUUCUGUGAUGACGGCGUAUGAUAACUCGAACACCCAGCUUGUGUUACCAUUUGCCGGCAUGGGCAAUCCGACUUGCCACCAGCAGGCCAACAUAAUUUGCUUUUUCAUUUCUCUAUGAAAUACACAAGCUGCUUGUUUGUACAUUUACUUUGGCCAAUGCACGGGGCCUCCGAAGAGUUGCGGUGUGCCCCGAUGAAGCCCGCGGCUGUGGGGCGGAUUGCUGAGGCCGCCGGCGCUUCGGGGAUAAACAUCACAGACAGCACCGAAAUUCACCCAGCUUGUGUUACCAUUUGCCCGCACGGGCAUUCCGACUUGCGGUCUGCCGCACUGUCCAUGCGGCAUGCACCCGGGAUGGAUGCGAUUCGCGUGAAGCCCGCAGGCGGUGCUGACGAUUCCGCUGGUGCAAGCUUAGCUCUCACACCAUCAGCACUGCUGCAACAAAGCACAUCUCCCACCGCGUUGACACUACCCAUCAAUUGUCACACGUGCCGCGCUAGCUACCGGCCUGUACGGAUGCAGGGGGGGCCCGCCCUUUUUCCGGCUUCGAGGAAGCCGAAACCCGACUUGUUUGGCUUAGACUGUAUGUCAUAAAAGUAAGAUGUCGGGGGCUAGAUGAUCGGCAGGCGGCUUGUAGGAGUCGGUUUGGGUGCCAUGCGCGGCGGAUGAGUGACCGUGUGCCAAGCCAGCCUAACCUAACAGCCUUUGCUGAUCAAAUUAUUGAAGUUUACAUUAAGAUUACCAUGUUCACGCAAGCUUUUCUCUAAAUUAGAACGGUGCGACGCGUGCCGGUGAGACCUGCUCCGGACCCCUAAAAUUGCACUAAAGCUCGCGAGUGAGAUCCGUACAUGUGAACGUUCCGGAUCCGGAGACUCAGAGACAACAACACGGCUACCUGCUGGUAGUCCUUUGCAGCAAUGACAUCCUUGUUCCAAUAGCGUGUAGGAGGCACAACGAACACAAUGGUGCAAAUCUUCCACGGAGGCCUUCUGGUGUCCAUCACCACACGGAUGAGGCCGCCGGGUUUGGAAUACAAGGUUAUGCUUCUUUCCCCGGAGAUCUCCGGCAGUCUCCGGUUCCCAGAGUGUCCGGUUCCCAGAGUAACCGGGCCGGCAAUUUCUGUUUUUUCAGAAAAGCCGGUUAUCAUGCCCUACAUGGCUUCUCGUGACAGCUUUUGAUUGCGUCACGGGGUUCCUGACAAUUCGUUCAUUGUACCGGAAAAGAGCUUCAUCCGUCCAAAUUAGUUUCAUAUGGUAUGGUGUCUGCCUGGAAGAUAUUUUACUGGAUGUAUUUGUAGAAGGCUCUCGGAGCGGCUCCUACGGCAGCAAACGAAGUAUCGGAGCCUUGGUCGGCAAACGCUGGAUUUCUCUUUCAGGAAGUGGUCCAUUUCUCUAGAGCCCCAAAAAACAUUGCUAUCGUGAGAUGGAGUCCAAUGGUACAGGAAUCGGGGUCAUUCCGUGAUAUAGUCUGAGCCAAACAUUGUGGAACACAUUGCCGGGUCGAGUGUAUGGAGUGGUACAGGGAUUGGGGGUUUUGUAACAGGCUUGUGGGGGGCAAUGCCCCCACGUGGGAUGGUAUGGAGUGGUACAGGAAUAGGAGACAAUGUUAUGGGGUGUGGGGGAGACGAAGUCUCUCUCACGUGACAUAAUUCGUACAGAGUGGGAGAGACUGGCGUCUCUCCCACACCCACAGGACACCUGUUUUGAAUCUGCCUCGCAAGGGGGGUAUAUAUAUAACCCUAUCACGUGGAUCGAAAGUAGUUGCUAUCGUGAAAUGAAUUGGAAUGGCAUCGGAGACUGUGAGUAUCUUUUUGCUAUGAGAUGGGGAAGAAGUAACAUUGCAGACUGUUUUGCAUUGCUACCGUGCGAUGGAGUGGAGUGGUAUGGGGAUGGUAUUGGGUAUGGAAAUAUGGGGGACAAUGGUACAUCAAUAUGGGGGGGUUGUGUGGUAUGGAGAUAUGGGGGGUAAUGGUAUGGAGAUAUGGGGGGUAAUGGUAUGGAGAUAUGGGGGGUAAUGGUAUGGAGAUAUGGGGACAAUGAGAUUCUUGACCAGGUAGAGAUACCAAUCCAAGAAGUGACGAAAAAGUGAGUUUUUUGCCCAGGUGGUAGGCUUGAGGGGUGUAGGGAAGACGAAGUCUUCCCCCGCGUGUGAAGUAUUUGUCGAAACGUGAAGAAGUGCCGAAAAAGUGAAAAUGUUGCCCAUGGGGGGCUCUUAUGACACAAUUCGUGCAAAAUUAUUUCGACAUCACAUCUUCUGUGUGAAUAUUUGACCAAGAAUGGCUACAGGGGCUGCAAGUAACUUUUUUGGGAUGACUUCAUCCCCAAGUUUCUUGUGUGAACUCUUUGGCUAGCAGCUGGAAAAUGUACAAAAGUACUUUUUUGAGCUGUGAAAGAGUUUUGUGUGAACUUUUGAAAGUAAUUUGCGGGAAUUUGGCCAUAAUUACUCAAAUUUUGUGUGAAAUAUUGGACUAGGAUUGCGUGUGAAAUGCGUGUUUUAUGCGUUGGUAUUUUGUGUGGAGGGUAGCCCGGUUAGGUAGUGAGGUGCGCACGGAGGCACAGACGGACGUGGAGCCGCGCGCUCGUCCCUGCGCUGUGUUUCGGUCCGGUCAGGGCCCCCGGUGCUCGUCCUUUAUCGGGACGAGCCGCCCACAGUGUAACACCCCAAUUGUUGACUUAGAUACGACGGAGCGAAGCGAUCGGAGUCUCUAAGUCUGGUUCUGUGCGACUGUCGUACAACCGUAUUGGAAUGGCGAGUAAUAAUUGCUUCAGCUCUUUCGUUACAGGCAUUCUGCCUUUCACUCAGUAGAGCUUCAGCUUCUAGCUGACAGUGUAAGGGCCCUUGGCAGCUGGUCUCCCCGCUUCCCGUCUCUACCGUUCCUUGCACGGUCAGCCAGCACGUUCGAGUCGACAUACCCAUGAGAAUACGGUUAAGGGAGACAGGAGCACAGAACAACAACAUCAUUCCCAUGACAUGGCUUCUUGUCACGGCCUGCCUCCAUCAUGCAAGCGGCAAACGCUUACAUAGAGACACUUGCAACCCUAAGCACUUGCGUUGCACACAGUAUGAAAACCUCGUCCUAACAUCCACUGCAACACCAAGGGGCCGACAACCCCAAAGCGCUAAUGGGAGCCAUCCUAACACAGGAAAAGGCGUGUACUAUUUCUACACCUCACAUGAGCACCAUACGCUCCCUGCCAGCCCCAGCUAAACUUCCUAAGAUGGUACGGCCAUCGGCUGCCGGGAUGGCCUCUGGGUAUGACAAGAGCUAAAUGCCCUAUCCGAGUGGCUCCAGCAAUUGUGACAGAAGCCGCUGCAGUACCCAGCGCACACGCAAAACGGAAGGAGUCCCUUUUUUUAUCUACUCGUUCACAAAGGCUCGCUUGAGACGCGCUACUGACUUGCCCCUGCACCCGGCCUCCGUAAACCCGAAGGUCCUGAAACUUGCUUUUGAAUGGAGGGAACCCUUGGCAUGCAUACGCUCGUGGGUCAUGCCCGCGGCCCCUAAGGUACAAUUAGAGCUCCCCGUACAGAAUUGUCGUCGGGUUAACCCACGAUAAUCGCGUCUUUGUUGCACAUUCACAUGUAAACUCAAAAAACGUGCACAUGCACACCGACAUCACACAGCACCGCAUGACGCGUAUCAACCAAGAGACCAACGCGUCCAGCACCCGCACAGUCACUACAACAAUGACAUAAUUGAUUUGGGUCCGCCAACAUUCCAUCUCGACUCCAUUCCUCAGCACUACAGUCAUCAUCGCCACCAUCGUCAUUUAGACAAUUGUUAUCAUUUUUAUCAUCACCAUCAAAACAGCUGUCACCGCAAUAAUUGCACACUCGAGCCCAGUGCCACGGCACCAGUAGCUGUAGCCGCAGCAGCAGACACACGCAGCGGGUUACGGGUACAAAAAACGAACAUAACGACUCCACAGUGGAGUCCCAACAAUACGUAUGGACGCCUCUGGUACAAAUAAAACAGAUCUGACAGCGGUAAACUCGAAGACAACAACACCAACCACGAAGCCGGAUCGGGAGGCAAGACCAGAGCGCAGGUGGGGACCACGAGCGGCAGAGCGCCGCCUCACAAUCAC
rnacentral:lncRNA from 1 species